GAGMAGAAACUAACCAGGAUUUCCCUAGUAACGGCGAGCGAACCGGAAAGAGCCCAGCUUGAAAAUCGUGGUGCCUCGCACCUCGAGUUGUAGUCUGGAGAAGGUCCCUCUGCGACGCGCCGGUCCCAAGUUCCCUGGAAAGGGACGUCAUCGAGGGUGACAACCCCGUCCGCGCCCGGAACGCGUCGCUCCACGAGGACCUGUCUGCGAGUCGGGCUGUUUGGGAAUGCAGCCCUAAGCGGGAGGUAAAUUCCUUCCAAGGCUAAAUAUGGGCAAGAGACCGAUAGCGAACAAGUACCGCGAGGGAAAGAUGAAAAGGACUUUGAAAAGAGAGUUAAAAAGUGCUUGAAAUUGCUGGGAGGGAAGCGAAUGGAAGCUGCGGGUGCGCCCCGGUUGGAUGUGGAACGGCUCUCGGGCUGGUCCGCCGCUCAACGCGGGGCGCUGGUCAGCGUGGGCCACGGCGCCGGGACAAGAGCGGGGAAUCGCUUCCCGCCUAUGCCGGUGCGGUGGCCGAGGAACGAAGCGCGCGCCUCACGGCGUGGGUUCGCCCAACUGCGCGCUCGGGACGCUGGCGUAUUGAGCUCUUCAUCCGACCCGUCUUGAAACACGGACCAAGGAGUCUAACAUGUAUGCGAGCCGGUGGGCGGCAAACCCAUUGAGGCGCAAGUAAACUGACAGGUGGGACCCCGACCGCAAGGGAGGGAGCACCAUCGACCGACCGUGAUCUUCUGUGAAAGGUUUGAGUGUGAGCAUACCUGUUGGGACCCGAAAGAUGGUGAACUAUGCCUGAGCAGGGCGAAGCCAGAGGAAACUCUGGUGGAGGCUCGUAGCGAUACUGACGUGCAAAUCGUUCGUCAGACUUGGGUAUAGGGGCGAAAGACUAAUCGAACCAUCUAGUAGCUGGUUCCCUCCGAAGUUUCCCUCAGGAUAGCUGGAGCUCGUGUACAAGUUUUAUCAGGUAAAGCGAAUGAUUAGAGGCAUCGGGGGUGUAACACCCUCGACCUAUUCUCAAACUUUAAAUAGGUAAGCCGCCGGGGUUGCUUGGUUGAACCCCGGCACAGAAUGAGA
rnacentral:rRNA from 1 species